AAUUACUUUAUGACUGUGUGUUGCAUGUAAACUAAGAGGGUGUUUUUUUUCUUCAGUGUAUUACAUAAUGGAGACGUGGGUUACCAAAAACAGGAAAUAUUGACCAUGUUGAGCAGCCAGUGAGCUGUCUUGGUCAGCACCCAGGUGUAUCCAUCAACACGGGCACGUUAUAUCAAAAUGCAGGAUGGUGACUGAAGCUCAUCUUUGUAAACACCUAUAUGCCUAGAAUGGACUCCAAAACAGAUUAUUAAAGUUUAACCAGUAUAAUCUUGAAUAUGGACAAAAAGUAUACACUUGGAACACAAACAAAAACAGAUGAGUCCAUGCCAAGCUAAAGAUUAAUGCAGAAGAUAAAAGAGAACUGGAGAAGAAUGAAUUGGUGUUAACAUACUCAACAUUAAAU